rnacentral:lncRNA from 1 species
GCCAGUGCGCUGCGGAUGGGACACCAAUGCGACCUUCGUGUAUGGCCUAAAAGGCAUUUCUCAUUAUCUUUCGGUCUCAAUUGCAGCAUGUUGUGGAGCUGACUUUGAAGCUUAAGACAACGGCGUUCUAUGUUUAUACGAUCUACUGGAGCCUAGAAAAGUUGGAAACUGAAGAUCAUAAACUUCCUGUGAGCUCACCAGUAGCCUACGGCCGGAAUUGGAUAAACAGGUUCGAUGUCGCUCAUUCACAUCGGCUCUUAAAAUGUUCUGUCUUCCUUUUAAUGGGAAAUGCACUUGAGAUGCCUGUGGCCAGGUGUAGGCUCCUGCAGUACAGUGUGGCUACUUGAGAACGCUAUAUCUUCCGGCGGAAAGGUGAAAGGUUCAUCUCAGCGCAGCAUACAGAAUAUACCCAGAGAGUAAAGCUGGAAGGACCAAGUGGACUAGCAUUUUCCAAGAGCAUUGGGCCAUGCAGCUGUGCUCCUCUGGCACUCAGAGAGGCGGCCACUCAACCCCCCACUCACCAGAGGGGUCCAGACCACCUGGCUCCAGGGGCAGCUGACUGGCCUAUUCAGCUGAAUGCACAGGCAGACCAGCGGCUCAUCCCUGGCCUGCCCCGGAGGUGGACGCGUGGAGUGCGAGGGGCCUGUGUGGAAGGUCAGCGGAGCCAGAGGAAAAGCCCACGUUUGUGGGAGCGCGAGGCGAGUGGAUGAGUGACCAUUUACACCCGAGUGGAACAUAGGGAGAGAUUCACGGGGAGUCAGCUGAUGCUACUGGCACUAUAUUUGUAUCGCAGGAAGGGAUGGGAAUUAUUUACUUCCUGCCAUUAUAGAAUAAAGGGAUCGAAGAGGGGAGAAAGAGUGACA